rnacentral:rRNA from 1 species
ACGAACGCUGGCGGCGUGCUUCACACAUGCCAGUCGAACGGUGAAGCGCCUUCCUUUUUGGUGGGUGUGGAUGAGUGGCGAACGGGUGAGUAACACGUGAGUAACCUGCCCCCUUCUUCUGGAUAACCGCAUGAAAGUGUGGCUAAUACGGGAUAUUCUGGGUCUGUCGCAUGAUGGGUCUGGGAAAGAUAUUGUUUCGGUGGGGGAUGGGCUCGCGGCCUAUCAGCUUGUUGGUGGGGUGAUGGCCUACCAAGGCGGUGACGGGUAGCCGGCCUGAGAGGGUGGACGGUCACACUGGGACUGAGACACGGCCCAGACUCCUACGGGAGGCAGCAGUGGGGAAUAUUGCACAAUGGGCGCAAGCCUGAUGCAGCGACGCCGCGUGAGGGAUGGAGGCCUUCGGGUUGUGAACCUCUUUCGCCAGUGAAGCAGGCCUGCCUCGUUUGUGGGUGGGUUGACGGUAGCUGGAUAAGAAGCGCCGGCUAACUACGUG